GGGUGAGGCAGCACAUAAUGGGGGAAGGGCCCAGCAGAGGAAUGUUGCUCCCCUUAUGGCAGCAAGGAGGCAGAGAGAAGGGGAAAGGGGCUGUGUGGAAGAUAUAUCAUUCCAGGGUACUCCCUCAGUGACCCACUUCCUUCAGGCAUGAUCUAUCUGCCUGUAGUUACCACCCAGUCAUUCAAAGUAGGAUGGGCUAAUCAGAUUUCAGCUCUCAUAAUCUAAUCACUUACCUCUGAAAAUUCCUGCAUUAACAGGAGCUUUGGGGGAGGAUUUAUGGACUAUAACCUUACAGAUAAAUUAAAAUGGAUUCUUUCAUCAAAAUGUAUUUAGUGUACUCUGUUAGGGAACUGUGCUAUAUAGUACUCAAAGGUGCUGCAGAGGUGACAGAAGAAGUAGAAUCAUAAAAAUUACAAAGUGGGGAGGGCAUACAUUACAAGGGGCUCAUUAUUACUGGAGAAUGAGCAAGGUGAGGCUUGAUUAGAAAUGAAAAUUGAGAGCUGGGGUUGUGGCUCAAUGGUAGA
rnacentral:lncRNA from 1 species